AAGUCGUAACAAGGUUUCCGUAGGUGAACCUGCGGAAGGAUCAUUAAAUACGUGUUUACACACGUUAUCAACCAACCCGCGCGAGGAGUCUUGCUGACACUCAAAAGUGUUUGUGCUUUCGGGUACGAACACUUCAUCGUGGUCACUUUGGCAGCAUUUUGUUGUCGAAGCGUUAGCUUGCACUCCGUUUAAUAUCUUCUGGUCACGGUGUUUCUUUUACAAACCAUAAAAACCCCAAAUCAUUUUUUAAUGAGUUAACAUUUUCUUUCGAAAGGGACUUCACUAUUAGCCUUCGGGUGAACGGGAGUUUCCGAAUAGAUAUGAAACCCUGUACAACUCUUAGCAACGGAUAUCUUGGUUCUC
rnacentral:misc_RNA from 1 species